rnacentral:rRNA from 1 species
UACGUAGGGCGCGAGCGUUGUCCGGAAUCAUUGGGCGUAAAGAGCUCGUAGGCGGCCGGUUGCGUCUGCUGUGAAAUCCCGGGGCUUAACCCCGGGCGUGCAGUGGAUACGGGCUGGCUGGAGGCAGGCAGGGGAGAAUGGAAUUCCCGGUGUAGCGGUGAAAUGCGCAGAUAUCGGGAGGAACCACGGUGGCGAAGGCGGUUCCCUGGGCCUGUGCUGACGCUGAGGAGCGAAAGCGUGGGGAGCAAACAGG